AACGCUGGCGGCAGGCCUAAUACAUGCAAGUCGAGCGCGCCCUUCGGGGUGAGCGGCGGACGGGUGAGUAACGCGUGGGAAUAUGCCCUUCUCUAAGGAAUAGCCUCUGGAAACGGAGAGUAAUACCUUAUACGCCCUUUGGGGGAAAGAUUUAUCGGAGAAGGAUUAGCCCGCGUUAGAUUAGGUAGUUGGUGGGGUAAUGGCCUACCAAGCCUACGAUCUAUAGCUGGUUUGAGAGGAUGAUCAGCCACACUGGGACUGAGACACGGCCCAGACUCCUACGGGAGGCAGCAGUAGGGAAUCUUAGACAAUGGGGGCAACCCUGAUCUAGCCAUGCCGCGUGUGUGAUGAAGGCCCUAGGGUCGUAAAGCACUUUCGCCAGAGAUGAUAAUGACAGUAUCUGGUAAAGAAACCCCGGCUAACUCCGUGCCAGCAGCCGCGGUAAUACGGAGGGGGUUAGCGUUGUUCGGAAUUACUGGGCGUAAAGCGCACGUAGGCGGAUUAGUAAGUUAGAGGUGAAAUCCCAGGGCUCAACCCUGGAACUGCCUUUAAUACUGCUAGUCUUGAGUUCGAGAGAGGUAAGUGGAAUUCCGGGUGUAGAGGUGAAAUUCGUAGAUAUUCGGAGGAACACCAGUGGCGAAGGCGGCUUACUGGCUCGAUACUGACGCUGAGGUGCGAAAGUGUGGGGAGCAAACAGGAUUAGAUACCCUGGUAGUCCACACCGUAAACGAUGAAUGCCAGACGUCAGCAAG
rnacentral:rRNA from 1 species